GACGAACGCUGGCGGCGUGCUUAACACAUGCAAGUCGAACGGAAAGGCCCUGCUUUUGUGGGGUGCUCGAGUGGCGAACGGGUGAGUAACACGUGAGUAACCUGCCCUUGACUUUGGGAUAACUUCAGGAAACUGGGGCUAAUACCGGAUAGGAGCUCCUGCUGCAUGGUGGGGGUUGGAAAGUUUCGGCGGUUGGGGAUGGACUCGCGGCUUAUCAGCUUGUUGGUGGGGUAGUGGCUUACCAAGGCUUUGACGGGUAGCCGGCCUGAGAGGGUGACCGGCCACAUUGGGACUGAGAUACGGCCCAGACUCCUACGGGAGGCAGCAGUGGGGAAUAUUGCACAAUGGGCGGAAGCCUGAUGCAGCAACGCCGCGUGCGGGAUGACGGCCUUCGGGUUGUAAACCGCUUUCGCCUGUGACGAAGCGUGAGUGACGGUAAUGGGUAAAGAAGCACCGGCUAACUACGUGCCAGCAGCCGCGGUGAUACGUAGGGUGCGAGCGUUGUCCGGAUUUAUUGGGCGUAAAGGGCUCGUAGGUGGUUGAUCGCGUCGGAAGUGUAAUCUUGGGGCUUAACCCUGAGCGUGCUUUCGAUACGGGUUGACUUGAGGAAGGUAGGGGAGAAUGGAAUACCUGGUGGAGCGGUGGAAUGCGCAGAUAUCAGGAGGAACACCAGUGGCGAAGGCGGUUCUCUGGGCCUUUCCUGACGCUGAGGAGCGAAAGCGUGGGGAGCGAACAGGCUUAGAUACCCUGGUAGUCCACGCUGUAAACGGUGGGUACUAGGUGUGGGGUCCAUUCCACGGGUUCCGUGCCGUAGCUAACGCUUUAAGUACCCCGCCUGGGGAGUACGGCCGCAAGGCUAAAACUCAAAGGAAUUGACGGGGCCCCGCACAAGCGGCGGAGCAUGCGGAUUAAUUCGAUGCAACGCGUAGAACCUUACCUGGGUUUGACAUGGAUCGGGAGUGCUCAGAGAUGGGUGUGCCUCUUUUGGGGUCGGUUCACAGGUGGUGCAUGCCUGUCGUCAGCUCGUGUCGUGAGAUGUUGGGUUAAGUCCCGCAACGAGCGCAACCCUUGUUCACUGUUGCCAGCACGUUAUGGUGGGGACUCAGUGGAGACCGCCGGGGUCAACUCGGAGGAAGGUGGGGAUGACGUCAAGUCAUCAUGCCCCUUAUGUCCAGGGCUUCACGCAUGCUACAAUGGCUGGUACAGAGAGUGGCGAGCCUGUGAGGGUGAGCGAAUCUCGGAAAGCCGGUCUCAGUUCGGAUUGGGGUCUGCAACUCGACCUCAUGAAGUCGGAGUCGCUAGUAAUCGCAGAUCAGCAACGCUGCGGUGAAUAAAUUCCCGGGGCU
rnacentral:rRNA from 1 species